rnacentral:tRNA from 1 species
GCAUUCAUAGCUCAGUUGGUUAGAGCACCACCUUGACAUGGUGGGGGUCGUUGGUUCGAGUCCAAUUGAACGCACCA